rnacentral:rRNA from 1 species
GAUGAACGCUGGCGGCGUGCCUAAUACAUGCCAGUCGAGCGAACGGACGCGUAGCUUGCUUUUCUGAUGUUAGCGGCGGACGGGCGAGUAUCACGUGGAUAACCUACCUAUAAUCCUGGGAUAACUUCGGGAAACCGGCGCUAAUACCGGAUAAUAUUUUUAACCGCAUGGUUCUAAAGUGUAAGACGGUCUUGCUGUCACUUAUAGCUUGAUCCGCUCUGCAUUAGCUAGUUGGUAAGGUAACGGCUUACCAAGGCACCGAUGCAUAGCCGACCUGAGAGGGUGAUCGGCCACACUGGAACUGGGACAGGGUCCAUGCUCCUACGGGAGGCAGCAGAAGGGAAUCUGCCGCAGUGGGCGAAAGCCUGACGGAGCAAGGCCGCGUGAGUGAUGAAGGUCUUCGGAGCGGAAAGCUCUGUUAUUAGGGAAGAACACAUGUGUAAGGAACUGUGCACAUCGUGACGGUACCUAAUCAGAAAGCCACGGCUAACUACGUG